AGAAUCAACGCUGGCGGCGUGCCUAACACACGCAGGUCGAACGCGAAAGGGGCGCAAGUCCUGAGUAGAGUGGCAAACGGGUGAGUAACACGUGGGUGACCUGCCUUCGAGUGGGGGAUAACGUUCCGAAAGGAACGCUAAUACCGCAUGACAUCCUGCGUUUGGAGACGCGGACAUCAAAGCUGGGGAUCGCAAGACCUGGCGCUCGGAGAGGGGCCCGCGGCUGAUUAGCUAGUUGGUGGGGUAAUGGCUCACCAAGGCGACGAUCAGUA
rnacentral:rRNA from 1 species